UCUGCUGGUGUUGCUGCCAUUUGGCGGCCUCUGACUAUUUAUUUCUACAUAUAUAUUUUUUUUUUGGUGGGGCAAGUUGGCGCCUAAGCCACACACUCACACGUACACUGCCACGCACACUUUCCCCCUCCGGAAAAUGGGAGAAAACACUUGAAAUUUGUUGGCUGCUUUCGCGCGACUUUCCGGUUAGCGAAUUCUUUUGUAGAGGUUUUUUUUUGUAUCUUUUUGUUAGAUUCUUUCUGUAUGUUUCUUUUUUGAGGGUAUACUCUUUUUAGGGUAUUAGGAAUACUUCAAACUGUUGGCCCCGAGACUGUAGGGUGCUGUUUUAUAUCCUCCUGUUUGGUUCCUUUUCUUUUGGGGCGUUUCUUUCGCUUAAUUUUUUAGAUGUUGCAAGUGCAACAAGGGAAUUCGCGUACACACAGACACGCACACCUUAAUCCACACACUGAAGCACACACACACACACACACAGAUAUAGAAAUACACUACUCUAUGGAGUUUUGUGGCUAUUUUUUGAGUGGAAAAUGCGCGACGAACCGUUCGUACCCGUUUGCUCCGAAGUCAGGCGCUGUGGCGGACGCCUGCUGCCGUUUCACCGUCUACCGUUUACCGUUACGUGUUACCACACAACACAAA
rnacentral:lncRNA from 1 species